AGAGCCACAACUUUACCCUGAAACAGUAAGAGCCUGCAGCUUUCGGCAGUUAGAACAAGCAUGAUCUCAGGCCCCCACCCCUAUGUGGCCUGCCAUUGUUGCUGGCACUUAGAGGAUGAAGUAAAUCGGGUUUAGUGAUCAGAACAGAUGUGUAAGGAGACAAAUUUCGACUAAGCAGGGGAUGCUGCAGGUCAUCACUGAGGGACGUCAGACAGAAGGAACAUUCAAUUCACUUAACGCCACUCUACAGAUCCUUCUUCUCUCAUCUGUACCCAGAGGAAAACAAAUUCCAGUGUAAUAGAGCAUUUGGACAGCAGCAGACCA
rnacentral:lncRNA from 1 species